CGAAAGCCUGACGGAGCAAGACCGCGUGAGGGAGGAAGGCUCUUGGGUUGUAAACCUCUUUUCUCAGGGAAGAAGCUCUGACGGUACCUGAGGAAUCAGCAUCGGCUAACUCCGUGCCAGCAGCCGCGGUAAUACGGAGGAUGCAAGCGUUAUCCGGAUUUAUUGGGCGUAAAGCGUCCGCAGGCGGCUAAUCAAGUCUGCUGUUAAAGGCCGAGGCUUAACUUCGGUUGGCAGUGGAAACUGAUUAGCUAGAGUGCGAUAGGGGUAGAGGGAAUUCCCAGCGUAGCGGUGAAAUGCGUAGAUAUUGGGAAGAACACCAGUGGCGAAGGCGCUCUACUGGGUCGCAACUGACGCUGAGGGACGAAAGCUAGGGGAGCG
rnacentral:rRNA from 1 species